rnacentral:rRNA from 1 species
CCUACGGGGGACAGCAGUCGAGAAUCAUUCACAAUGGGGGAAACCCUGAUGGUGCGACGCCGCGUGGGGGAAUGAAGGUCUUCGGAUUGUAAUCCCCUGUCAUGUGGGAGCAAAUUAAAAAGAUAGUACCACAAGAGGAAGAGACGGCUAACUCUGUGCCAGCAGCCGCGGUAAUACAGAGGUCUCAAGCGUUGUUCGGAAUCACUGGGCGUAAGGCGUGCGUAGGCUGUUUCGUAAGUCGUGUGUGAAAGGCGCGGGCUCAACCCGCGGACGGCACAUGAUACUGCGAGACUAGAGUAAUGGAGGGGGAACCGGAAUUCUCGGUGUAGCAGUGAAAUGCGUAGAUAUCGAGAGGAACACUCGUGUCGAAGGCGGGUUCCUGGACAUUAACUGACGCUGAGGCACGAAGGCCAGGGGAGCGAAAGGGAUUAGAUACCCCGGUAGUC